ACUGAACCCGUUCCCUGAAGCUCUUCUUGCCUCGCCUGCUCAACCCCCCUGGCCCCGCUCCCUUCAGGGGAAAACAGAAGCCCCAAAGGUGUGAUGCCACACUCUUUGCUGGACUCCACAGGGUCAUGCCGGCAACCAGAUUUACAUAAUGGAGAAGAUUGUACUGUAAAAAUAUUGCUACUAUACAGGAACUACAAUUUGAAGCGGCAUCACUUUGAAGAUCCUUGUAAUGUGUGUCCAACACAUGAAUAAUGGCAAUGAUCGGCCUUAAAGGGAGUAACGUUAGGAUGAAAUGGAAAACUUCCUCUCAGUGGUGCCUGUAUAUUUAAAGGCACAUUUUGAUCUUGUGAACAGCUGUUGAAGGUAGAAGUAUAAACAUACCUCUAAACAUGGAAAACAGCAUGGAAAAGUGUGGCUGUUAGCGACUCAUGUUCUUAAAUGGAUAUUUUCCAAGAUUACUACUUGUAGAAGCCUUCUCACGCUACCUUUUUGACUUGUG